rnacentral:rRNA from 1 species
CUGGAAUGGCUUAUGGCCUAAACAGUUUACUGCCAUGGGAUGGGACUGCGGCCUAUCAGCUUGUUGGUGAGGUAAUGGCCCACCAAGGCUAUAACAGGUACGGGCUCUGAGAGGAGAAGCCCGGAGAUGGGUACUGAGACACGGACCCAGGCCCUAUGGGGCGCAGCAGGCGAGAAACCUUAGCAAUGUGCGAAAGCACGACUGGGUCAGUCCGAGUGAUUCCUGAUAAAGGAGUCUUUUAUCUGUCCUAGAAGCACAGGUGAAUAAGGGGUGGGCAAGUCUGGUGUCAGCCGCCGCGGUAAUACCAGCACCUCGAGUGGUCAGGACGUUUAUUGGGCCUAAAGCAUCCGUAGCCGGCUUUGCAAGUCUUCGGUUAAAUCCACCUGCUCAACAGAUGGGCUGCUGGAGAUACUACAAAGCUAGGGAGUGGGAGAGGCAGACGGUAUUCAGUGGGUAGGGGUAAAAUCCUCUGAUCCAUCGAGGACCACCAGUGGCGAAGGCGGUCUGCCAGAACACGUUCGACGGUGAGGGAUGAAAGCUGGGGGAGCAAACCGGAUUAGAUACCCGGGUAGUCCCAGCUGUAAACGAUGCAAACUCGGUGAUGCAUUGGCUUAUGGCCAAUGCAGUGCCGCAGGGAAGCCGUUAAGUUUGCCGCCUGGGAAGUACGGACGCAAGUCUGAAACUUAAAGGAAUUGGCGGGGGAGCACCACAAGGGGUGAAGCCUGCGGUUCAAUUGGACUCAACGCCGGU